UGAACAGCCGUAGCUCAGUGGUACAGAAUCUGCCUUGCUUGCAGAAGGCUCCAGCUUCAAUGCCUGGCAUCUCAA